rnacentral:rRNA from 1 species
AUUGAACGCUGGCGGCAUGCCUUACACAUGCAAGUCGAACGGCAGCAUGGAGAGCUUGCUCUCUGAUGGCGAGUGGCGAACGGGUGAGUAAUGCAUCGGAACGUACCGUGUAAUGGGGGAUAACGUAGCGAAAGUUACGCUAAUGCCGCAUACGACCUGAGGGUGAAAGCAGGGGAUCGCAAGACCUUGCGUUAUACGAGCGGCCGAUGUCAGAUUAGCUAGUUGGUGAGGUAAAGGCUCACCAAGGCGACGAUCUGUAGCGGGUCUGAGAGGAUGAUCCGCCACACUGGGACUGAGACACGGCCCAGACUCCUACGGGAGGCAGCAGUGGGGAAUAUUGGACAAUGGGCGCAAGCCUGAUCCAGCCAUACCGCGUGGGUGAAGAAGGCCUUCGGGUUGUAAAGCCCUUUUGUACGGAACGAAAAGCCCCGGGUUAAUACCCUGGGGUCAUGACGGUACCGUAAGAAUAAGCACCGGCUAACUACGUGCCAGCAGCCGCAGUAA